rnacentral:rRNA from 1 species
CAGGGAAGAAGCGAAAGUGACGGUACCUGCAGAAGAAGCGCCGGCUAACUACGUGCCAGCAGCCGCGGUAAUACGUAGGGCGCGAGCGUUGUCGGGAAUUAUUGGGCGUAAAGAGCUCGUAGGCGGCUUGUCACGUCGGUUGUGAAAGCCCGGGGCUUAACCCCGGGUCUGCAGUCGAUACGGGCAGGCUAGAGUUCGGUAGGGGAGAUCGGAAUUCCUGGUGUAGCGGUGAAAUGCGCAGAUAUCAGGAGGAACACCGGUGGCGAAGGCGGAUCUCUGGGCCGAUACUGACGCUGAGGAGCGAAAGCGUGGGGAGCGAACAGGAUUAGAUACCCUGGUAGUCCACGCCGUAAACGGUGGGCACUAGGUGUGGGCAACAUUCCACGUUGUCCGUGCCGCAGCUAACGCAUUAAGUGCCCCGCCUGGGGAGUACGGCCGCAAGGCUAAAACUCAAAGGAAUUGACGGGGGCCCGCACAAGCGGCGGAGCAUGUGGCUUAAUUCGACGCAACGCGAAGAACCUUACCAAGGCUUGACAUACACCGGAAAACCCUGGAGACAGGGUCCCCCUUGUGGUCGGUGUACAGGUGGUGCAUGGGCUGUCGUCAGCCUCGUGUCGUGAGAUGUUGGGUUAAGUCCCGCAACGAGCGCAACCCUUGUCCCGUGUUGCCAGCAGGCCCUUGUGGUGCUGGGGACUCACGGGAGACCGCCGGGGUCAACUCGGAGGAAGGUGGGGACGACGUCAAGUCAUCAUGCCCCUUAUGUCUUGGGCUGCACACGUGCUACAAUGGCCGGUACAAUGAGCUGCGAUACCGCGAGGUGGAGCGAAUCUCAAAAAGCCGGUCUCAGUUCGGAUUGGGGUCUGCAACUCGACCCCAUGAAGUCGGAGUCGCUAGUAAUCGCAGAUCAGCAUUGCUGCGGUGAAUACGUUCCCGGGCCUUGUACACACCGCCCGUCACGUCACGAAAGUCGGUAACACCCGAAGCCGG